GGUAAACUAGUAAAUAGACCAAUAAGAAAGAGAUCUGCCAAUAAAAGCUACUUUUAUUUUUCCUUUCCCCACUCAGACCACUCCCAGACAGUCCUAGAACAAUUUUUGCUUCAGAAAUGGCUCUUUGCUAAGAAGCUAUUUUUUGUUUAUUGGGUAGAACUUUUAUGGAAAACAAUCACUGUAAGGUACUUAACUGUUACACAGAAAUCAUUUGAUAUUGAGAUACAAAUGUUUAUUAAAAAUGUUUAUUUAAUUUAGUUUAAUGAAACUAGAGAUUUAGCUGAGUAGUCUAAGCAGUUGAUUUCUUAUGUAUUUCAUCUCAGUGCUUGGGAAGUGAACUGUUUUGACUAAUCAAAAAUGUCCUUUUGAUACAAAGAUCCUGGUUAAAUGGGGGAGAUUUCAGAUAAAUAAUAACAGAAGAGAAAGCUUCCAUUCCCGCUGAAAGGUGACUUCAAGCUGUGUGGCUCUUAGAUGUAAAAAAUGAAUACAAAAAAUCUGCAAUUUCGGUGUGUUUGAUGAAAACACUUGCAGCCCACAUCUUGAAAUUAGAUUAAGUAAUCCAACAUGUAAUUGGCUAUUUUUAAGAAUGUAAUUGUAAUCUGAUUAGGGCCACACAUUUAAGUAAUCUGGGUUGAUUAGUUACUUAGUUUUCGUAAUCUGAUUACAAUAUAAUCCUUGUUACAUGUAAUCUGUUAUAGUGUCGCGUGGAUGUCCUUCCAAGUCCUGUCUCGUUCACUCGACUAUUGAAAUUUUGGAAAACUUCAGUAUUGGAUUUGGCGUUUGAAUGGGAGUGCUGGCAUUCAGCAAUAAUGAACAUGUUUAGUUUUAGUGGAGAUCCCUCAAUAAUCAUUCUCACUAUAGCACAUUGGUAAUAGUCAGAGACAAAUAAACUGAGUGGACAAAACAUUAAGCACACCUUCCUAAUAUUGAGUUGAAUCUUCCGGCGCUCGUUUACAGUGAACACUGAGACUGUACCCUUACAGUUUUAGGCAUUAGACUAUUGUGGCUAUUUGAGCAUAAUGAAGGCCUACCAACAAAACCAAUGGAGCAAAUCCCAUAACACUUUCACAUGGAAAUAGCUUUUGAUUUCUAUGAUAUAGCCUACAGUAGCCUAUAUGUGGCCUCCAUUGCAUGAGACUUUUACAAACGUUUUUACAUUAUGAAGUGCUUGACAUUAAUUAUUUUUUUACUUGGUUUGUAACACCAUGAGCCAAAUAAGUGACUGUAAAUUGCAAAGUAAUGUGUUGUAUGAUGCAAGAAACCACUUUACAAAACAAAAUGAUUUAUUAUUAGCAUAGAGAGAAUUAGACAAUGUAGGCUUUCUCUUUGCCUAUUGGCUUAUUUACGUCUUCAAUCAUGUCUCAAAAUACAACACUGCCCCAUUAAGACAUAAGCUUUUUACCUGACUGGCUUUUCAAAGACAGCUUGAAAUGUAGCCUAAGCCUAAACGAUUUGUGCUUGGUAGGAAGCACAAUAGUAAUUCCCCAUUGCUGACCUAUACUUAUCUAUAACUGGGCUAAUAACUAGCAAAGAAUAUCAACAAAUUUGCACCAGCACAGCUCUGAUCUGAACUGAUUUGAAAAACACAUUCAACCCUGGGUGAUUGAAAGACCACUUGUGGGUUACCCCCACUCCCUUUGGUGCUCUGGCUCUGCCUGUAACAAAAUCACAGACUCAAUCUUGCAAAGUUAGAUUUGUUUAUUUUUUUGCAUUGAAAAGGGGCUGAUAUAAUGUUGAUUCGAUCACAGAAAAAAACGUUGAUCUAUAUAUAUAGUGCAAACUAAUGGAGCAAACUCAGUGAAGAUCAAUCUCUUGCGUCUCUGCGUGGCCUGGCAUUUCUUCAGCCCAGCAGUCCUGGACACAACCCCUGACCACAAUCACACAACUACUGACCACAACCAACUAACUACUGAUCACACAACUCCUGAACACUAGAGACUAUACCUACUGACCACAACUACUGAACACAACCAACCAACAACUGACCACACAACUGCUGACCACAACUACAACUGGGCUCCCGAGUAGCGCAGCAGUCUAAGGCACUGCAUCUCAGUGCCUGGUUCGAUUCCAGGCUGUAUCACAACCGGCCGUGAUUGGGAAUCCCAUAAGGCGCCGCAUAAUUGGCUCAGUGUCGUUAGGGUUUGGCCGGGGUAGGCCGUCAUUGUAAAUAUGAAUUUGUUCUGAUUUGCCUAUUUAAAUGAAGAUUAAAUACAAAUAACUACUGACCACAACACAACUAGGGACCAUAACUCCUGACCACAACCACUGAACACAACUCCAACACUACUGACCAAGACUAAUGAACCAUACACCAGAACUACUAACCACAACACUACUGACAACAACUACUGAACACAGACACAACCACACAGAUACUGACCAAAAUAACACAACUACAUACAAUAACUACUGACCACAAUCACACAUCUACUCACAACUACUGCACAUAACCACACAACUACUGACCACAACUACAGACCACAACUACUGAUCACAACGAACCAACUACUGACCACAACAACACAACUAGAGACCAUAACUACUGAGCACAACUGCUGGAAAAUAAGUAUUUGGUCAAUAACAAACGUUUAUCUCAAUACUUUGUUAUAUACCCUUUGUUGGCAAUGACAGAGGUCAAACGUUUUCUGUAAGUCUUCACAAGGUUUCCACACACUGUUGCUGGUAUUUUGGCCCAUUCCUCCAUGCAGAUCUCCUCUAGAGCAGUGAUGUUUUGGGGCUGUUGCUGGGCAACAUGGACUUUCAACUCCCUCCAAAGAUUUUCUAUGGGGUUGAGAUCUGGAGACUGGCUAGGCCACUCCAGGACCUUGAAAUGCUUCUUACGAAGCCACUCCUUCGUUGCCCGGGCGGUGUGUUUGGGAUCAUUGUCAUGCUGAAAGACCCAGCCACGUUUCAUCUUCAAUGCUCUUGCUGAUGGUAGGCUUUGUUACUUUGGUCCCAGCUCUCUGCAGGUCAUUCACUAGGUCCCCCCGUGUGGUUCUGGGAUUUUUGCUCACCGUUCUUGUGAUCAUUUUGACCCCACCGGGUGAGAUCUUGUGUGGAGCCCCAGAUCGAGGGAGAUUAUCAGUGGUCUUGUAUGUCUUCCAUUUCCUAAUAAUUGCUCCCCCAGUUGAUUUCUUCAAACCAAGCUGUUUACCUAUUGCAGAUUCAGUCUUCCCAGCCUGGUGCAGGUCUACAAUUUUGUUUCUGGUGUCCUUUGACAACUCAUUGGUCUUGGCUAUAGUGGAGUUUGGAGUGUGACUGUUUGAGGUUGUGGACAGGUGUCUUUUAUACUGAUAACAAGUUCAAACAGGUGCCAUUAAUACAGGUAACGAGUGGAGGACAGAGGACCCUCUUAAAGAAGAAGUUACAGGUCUGUGAGCCAGAAAUCUUGCUUGUUUGUAGGUGACCAAAUACUUAUUUUCCACCAUAAUUUGCAAAUUCCUUAAAAAUCCUACAAUGUGAUUUUCUGGAUUUUUCCCCCUCAUUUUAUCUGUCAUAGUUGAAGUGUAACUAUGAUGAAAAUUACAGGCCUCUCUCAUCUUUUUAAGUGGGAGAACUUGCACAAUUGGUGGCUGACUAAAUACUUUUUUGCCCCACUGUAUAUCCAUCCUGCCCUGCCUUUCUAAAAUCUUUGAAAGCCAAGUUAACAAACAGAUCACCGACCAUUUCGAAACCCACUGUACCUUCUCCACUAUGCAAUCUGGUUUCCGAGCUGGUCAUGGGUGCACCUCAGCCAUGCUCAAGGUCCUAAAUGAUAUCAUAACCACCAUCGAUAAAAGACAGUACUGUGCAGCUGUCUUCAACGACCUGACCAAGGCUUUUGACUCUGUCAAUCACCGCAUUCUUAUCGGCAGACUCAAUAGCCUUGGCUUCUCAAAUGACUGCCUCGCCUGGUUCACCAACUACUCCUCAGAUCGAGUUCAGUGUGUCAAAUCGGAGGGCCACAGGGUUCAAUUCUCUGGCCAACUCUUUUAUCUGUAUAUAUCAAUAUGUAUACAUGCUGCUGGUGAUUCUCUGAUCCACCUCUACACAGACGACACCAUUCUGUAUACAUCUGGCCCUUCUUUGGACACUGUGUUAACAAACCUCCAAACGAGCUUCAAUGCCAUACAACACUCUUUCCGUGGCCUACAACUGCUUUUAAAUGCUAGUAAAACUAAAUCCAUGCUCUUCAACCGAUUAUUGCCCGCACCCACCUGCCCGACUAUCAUCACUAUUCUGGACGGUUCUGACUUAGAAUAUAUUGACAACUACAAAUACCUAGGUGUCUGGCUAGACUGUAAACUCUCCUUCCAGACUCACAUUAAGCAUCUCCAAUCCAAAAUUUAAUCUAGAAUCGGCUUCCUAUUUUGCAACAAAGCCUCCUUUACUCAUGCUGCCAAAUAUACCCUCGUAAAACUGACUAUCCUACCGAUCUUUGACUUAGGCAAUGUCAUUUACAAAAUAGCCUCCAACACUCUACUCAGCAAACUGGAUGUAAGUCCAUCACAGUGCCAUCCGUUUUGUCACCAAAGCCCAAUAUACUACCCACCACUGCGACCUGCACGCUCUCGUUGGCUGGCCCUCACUACAUAUUCGUCGCCAAACCCACUGGCUCCAGGUCAUCUAAGUCUUUGCUAGGUAAAUCCCCGCCUUAUCUCAGCUCACUGGUCACCAUAGCAACACCCAUCCGUAGCACAUGCUCCAGCAGGUAUAUUUCACUGGUCAUCCCCAAAGCCAACACUUCCUUUGGCCGCCUUUCCUUCCAGUUCUCUGCUGCCAAUGACUGGAACAAAUUGCAAAAAUCACUGAAGCUGGCGUCUUAUAUGUCCCACUCGACCUUUAAGCAUCAGCUGUCAAAGCAGAUUUCCUGAUCACUGUGCCUGUACACAGCCAAUCUGUAAAUAGCACACCCAACUACCUCAUCCCCAUAUUGUUAUUUAUCCUCUUGCUCUUUUUCACCCCAGUAACUCUACUUGCACAUCAUCAUCUGCACAUCUAUCACUCCAGUGUUAAUGCUAAAUUGUAAUUAUUUCACCUCCAUGGCCUAUUUAUUGCCUUACCUCCCUACUCUUCUACAUUUGCACACACUGUAUAUAUACUUUUUUAUUGUGUUAUUGACUGUACGUUUGUUUAUGUGUAACUCUGUGUUGUUGUUUUUGUCGCACUGCUUUGUUUUAUCUUGACCAGGUCACAGUUGUAAAUGAGAACUUAUUCUCAACUGGCCUACUGUCACUUUCUGACCAUAGUUCAUAGUUUUAGUGUUGGUCAGGACGUGAGCUGGGUGGGCAUUCUAUGUUGUGUGUCUAGUUUGUCUAUUUCUAUGUUUGGCCUGAUAUGGUUCUCAAUCAGAGGCAGGUGUUAGUCAUUGUCUCUAAUUGGGAACCAUAUUUAGGUAGCCUGUUUUGUGUUGGGUUUUGUGGGUGGUUGUUUCCUGACUCUCCUGUGUUCUCUGCACCAGAUAGGACUGGUUCGGUUUUGCAACGUUUAUUGUUUUGUAUUGUGUUCAUGUUUAGUUUAUCUGAUUAAAGAACAUGAACUCUAACCACGCUGCAUUUUGGUCCUCCUCUCCUUCGACGGAAGAAAGCCGUUACACCUACCUGGUUAAAUAAAGCAGGGGGAACCAUCAGGCCCAGGCCAAAUACAGCCUAUGGCACAACAAAGAUUGGAGUGACUGUGCUGUCCAGGAUUUAGGCUGAGACCUGGGCAGCUGAUGGAAUGCUCGCUGCCCUGGCUGGGUCUGCACUGACAUGGCAGGCCCCUUGUCCACCAAGAGCCCUAAGGAGCUCUUAGGCACUUCUUUCUGAGUGGGCCAAGGAUGGACAGUUGGUGUGGGAAAAGACCGUUCAGGAAUGGUAGAUGGGAGACAGCAGGAAGUUUACCUUAUCUCAGAAAUUUGAGGUAAAUUGCGGGGCCCCCCACCAAAAAAAAUACAAUACUAAAAAAAAAUAUUUUUAGAGGAACUCAGUCCGGCUUUAAACUUACUCUUGAAUGUUUGAAUAGUAGAGUGCACAAGGUUCAUUUUCGAAACUGUAUCAUCAGUUCCUCUUGUCAUGUCAGUCAUUGCAUAUGUUAAAGAGCUAUUUAUAACUUGUCAGAAAUGUCCAGAUCAACUAGCCCAUGUCAGCUAAUGGUUUUUUAUUUAGGUUUUUCAGCCCAUAGAUAUUGUAAUUUUUUGGUCACUCAAAUAUUACAUGAACACACAUUAGACAUGGCAAAAUGUAUAUAAUUGCAAGAAAAUUUGCUUUAAAACUGCAAAAUGUUAUUUUCACCCCAUGACAAAAUGUGUAGAAUUGCAAUAAAUAAGCUUUAAACUUGCAAACACGUUCUCCACCAACAAGAGGGGUGUGAACAGUGUGUCAUCAACAAUGCUUGUGCCAGCAGAAAUAGACGAGUCACACACGAAGGGGGGAAUCUUCCCCAAUGCUGGGAACCCCUGAUCUCCAUGAAGGCAGCUGCCACUUCAUUAAAGCUAUUAGAUGCCAUUUACCACAGCACACUGCAUUUUUCCCACACAGGUGACAGUUUUUGCACUCUAUCAGAAAGUAGGCUGGCCCUCUUUGACGUCGCAUAGGUAAAAAAAAGAAAAAGCAUUCUGUUUUGCAAAAACUCCCGCAUUACCUAUUGCCAUUACUAACCUUUAGAUGUACGAGAUAACAUACCAGGUCACAGGGCUGGCGAACUUUGAAAUUCCUUCUGUCACUACAGAUUUAAGUAAAACAGCUUUUUUUUAUGAUUGUGGUUUUUUUUCUUUUUCGUUGUGUGUUUCAUAUGCUCCUGCCUUGACCGUAACUUGUAUUGUGUAAUUGCUUGGUCUUGUCAUGCAGGGCUUCCUUGAAAAAAUAUAUUGAUCUCAA